AAAAGAUAUAAUAAUGAACUUAUGUAAAAUAUGAUAUUUUUUAGGAAUGGUCCAAACUAAAAAAAUCACACAUGAAAAGAAGUCAUGACUUCUGUUUUAAUAUAUAAGAUAUAACUAUAUUUAAUUUUUAAAUAUAUUAUAAAUUUUACUUUUUUAUAUAAUAUGGUAUACCAAAAUUUAUGUUAUUUAAAAUGAAUAUAGUUUUAUGUUUAUGAAAAUAAAGCAGUUACCUAGUAAUUUUUAAGUUUGAUGGAACAACUCGCAAAAUCCUAUUAUAGUUAUAUAUGGUUUUCAUAAAAUUAUUCUAUUAUUUUAGUUAUUUAUCUGUAUUUAUAAAUAAUUAAUAUUCAAAUUAAAUUUAUUAAAAAGCGAGACACACUAUUAAUCCAAAUUAAGUUAGUUAUUUCAAAAAGGAAUUAGUAUGUAAUAUUUAGAGGUAUAUCUUGAAAAUAUAAAGAUAUAGGAAUUACGAUUUAUUAAAGUUAUUAGAAUCACUGAGAUUUUUUUAUAAAAUCACAGAUAUUUUCAAUGAAAGAGUAGUUAGUAAAAUGAAAUAUAGGAUUUUAGUUAAAUAGUUGUUAGAAUCAUCAAGAUUUUUAUGCAGAAUGCAAUUUAAAAUAUCUUAAUAAAUAAUGCAAUUGUGAUAAUGAUCCAUUUCAAAAUUCUCGUAUAAACUAAAGAAAUAUAGUUUGGUAAACUGAGGGUUCUAGUAUGGUUUUUCUAAUCCAUUCGUGCAAUGCAUACAUAUACGAUAAUCCAUACGUGGUUGGCAUAGGUUUGGUUUAAACUUAGUAUAAUCUUAAUAAAAUGAUAUUGUACAUAUCUACGUAUGAAUCUAGCUAUAAAUGCUUAAUUUUAAUAAUAUAGUUAUGAUAAAGCAAUUAUAAUCUUAUUUUCUUAAGUCAUAUAAAAAUAUUCGUAUAUGGAGCAUCGGUAGGAAGUAAAUAUUUGGUGCAGUUAAAGUAGGAAGUGGAAAAUCUUUUAAUUGUGAUAUAUGGAAUAUUUUAUGAUAAUUAGUAGGAAUUAGUUUGAUUGUUAGAAUAACAUAAAUAUACAUCUAAUAAAUUUUCUAAAGAUGGUCCAACUUUAAAAAAUCACACAUGAAAAAGGUUGUGACUUCUGUUUUAAUAUAUAAGAUGUUUAUGUCGUUCAAAAACGCCAUUUUGCUACUAGCGUCAAGAAUAUACAGGGAUAUCAUCUAACACUCGUUUCUAAUUUACUCUUAGUUUUUAUGUCUUAAGGUAAUGUCUUGUCUAAGUGAUAUGCAUGCACAUCUCCUAAAUCCGACUCGAGACAGACUGCACAUAUAUAUAAUUAAAAAGCUGGUGGAUUUGGCGGGCAUUCUCUUCAAAACUAUUUUUCAUUUUUUCCAUAACUAUUUUUCAGAGUUGUAUAGUUCAUGUUUGUAAGAAUUGCAAUUUAUGUGCAAGCUCUUUAGAUAAAAAGACUGGAAGGUGUAUUGUUUUUUCAUAGUAAGUUAGAUAAGAUUGGAUAGAGUUGUUCUUAUGAACAAUUUUUUUAUUGACCAAAACGUUAGUAACAAAAUAAAUAGUUGACAAAAAGUAUUAAAUUUCACAUAAUCUUGAAAUUGUUAUACGAUUUCCAAUCCAAAUAAAGGUUUUUUCAGAGAUUUCACAAAGAAAAAAAAUAUUUACUACCAUUUGCUUUUAAAAAUAAACAUUCAACAUACGUUAGUUUUUUUUUGAGAACUUUUGAGUGCAACUGAAGAUAAUCAUUGUCACGAUUGUAGCCAAUGCAUGAGAGAUCUUGAUCGCCAAGUUUGGAGCUUUUAAGGAGCUAAGGAACCAAACUAGCCAAUGUUCAAGUUGGAAGUGAAAUAUAAAGAAUAAAGGUAAAGGUGACCCAAGUGAGAUGCUUUGUAAUGAUUUUAAAGGCAAUAACAUUGUGAUCUUUCUUUAGCAUGACGAGAGAGCGAUGCGUUCUGUAUAGAUUCUAUUGAUUAGUCAAAGAAGCAAUCUCCUACUCAAAUUUAAAAAGAUACACAAAGAGAAUGAACCCAUCAAAUGAGUACACUCACUGGCUCUAAGCUUUUAUUUUCUUAAACCCUUUAUCUUCUUUUUCUUUUAUCUAUUUUGGAUCAAAUAGAGAAGUUACGUUAUCUCCAAGAACCGAACUAUAUAUUGUUGUUCUUUUUUUGGUAAACUAUUUUCUGGUAAACAUAUAUUGUAUUAUAUUGUUGUUCUUUUGCAAAAAAAAAAAAGUAUUUUUUGCAUCAAAUAGAAUAUAUAGGUUUGCAAGAAGCAAAACAGUUGAGUUUAAUCUGAGCAAAAAAAAAAACAUUUAUAUCAAACGGGUAAACUCAUUACCUGAAUAUUUUGUAUGGCAUUUUUUUUCUUGGCUUCAUUGAGUUUUAUGGGUUUGUAUUAUUAGUUUAUUAUCUUAUAUUCCCUCUUGUUUGCAAUGUACGUUCUUAUAUAAACUCUCAUAGCCGUAUAUCGUGUUAUUAAUUUCGGAUUGGUUCUUCCAACUAAUUUUGAGUCAAAUGUUGGAUCGGAUUUUAUACCAUAUUAAAUUUUGUGGCUUAAUUAAAAGCUGAAAAUAAUUGACUAAUAGUUCUUAUAUAGUAAGUAUUAAGUAUUAACUAAAGAAAAAAAACUUAGUAUGAUACAUACAUAGAAAAGUAAUUUAUUUUAAUUUUUACGUUUUUCUACAAAAUUGACUAAUAGUUCUUAUGUGUGUUACAAAAAAAAAAAUUUUGAUUUGGAACUUGUAAUGAAACACCUGUUAAUAAAACACAAUAGUUCACACUUGUUUGACAAAUAACAGUCAAAAGAGCGUUUAGAUACAUACAAUAAGCUUGUUGGAGUAUGUGUGCCGACAAACAUGAACGAACAAAAAUACGUAUAACCAGAAAGAGAAUGAUGAAUAUAAAGAUUUAAACAACAUCAAAAGACCCAGAGAGACAGGGAACAAAGAGAAUCGGAUCGGUCUUGAGAUUGAUGUUUUUUUUAAUGUUCAAUUGAAACGACCACACCACUUUCCCAAAAUAUGCUUCUCUCUCUCACACGCACUUGACACUUUGCUUCGUUGAACACGAAACCUAACGAUUACCAACCCAAGACACAAAGUGUUCGACUUUGUAAUUUCACAUUACCUUGUCGCAUCUCUCCACUCACGUGACUUCUAAUCUAAUUUAAUAUACAUCAUUUGCGUGUAUAUAAUAAGUAAUUAAGUGACUAAAACGUUUCUUGGUAUGUAUAAAAUCAUGGCGCCAUGCAUGCAAAAAGCUAGAGCAAUUGAUAACUAAAUACAAAGUGGUUUCGUUACCCAUUAAGCACAACUAACGUGCUUUUUAGGCAGGGCCGGCUCAUAUACGAGGGUGAGCGACCGUUGAGUCCAUGAUAUUAAGGGUACAAAUUUUUCAAAUUUCUUUUAAUUUUUUUUUAAGAAACAAAUAUUUUUAAGAACAAAAAUAAAUAUACAUGUAUUCUAAAGAGUUUUAAUUUUAUAUAUUUUCAUAAAUUUAAUAAUCUUGUAGAGUUUUUUAAAAGUUAUACUUAAAUUGUGUUUUUCUUAAUUAUUAGAGGACCUGAUUUUUUUUUGUCCAGAAGGCCCUAUAAAUAGGGGGUGGGCGUUUGGGUACUUGUUCGGGUUUGGAUUGGGUAUUUCGGAUUUUCGGGUAUUUUGGUAUAAAAGUGUAGAACCCGUUUGAGUAUUUCUGAAUUUUGGGUUGGGUUCGGAUAUUUUUAGUUCGGAUUCAGUUAUUUCAGAUCGGGUUCGAAUAUUUAGAUUUUGAAAAAAAUAUUAAAUUUUUCAUUUCUCAAAUUUCUUGUAUUUAAAAUAUAACUUUCACUUAACUCAUUUUUGUUUUUAAUAGAAUGGUUAAUAGAUUUGGACGUAACAUUUUGAAACUAAAAAGAUAUUAAUUUGGUUAUUGUUUUAAAUUUUGGAUGUAACUUUUUGUUAAUUCUUGAAAUAAAAAGUUUGACAUGCAUUUUAAGUGAGUAGCAAAUUAUUUUCUCUGUAACUGUAUGUAUACCAUAUGAACUUAAAGUAUGUGUAGUAUCAAUAUAAAUAUUUUAUAUAAAAUAAGAAGUGUAAACUAGAAAUAUAAGGUUAAUUAUACAUAUGUUCGGUUAUCUUCAGAUAUCCAUUCGGGUUCGGAUAUUACCGUUCGGGUUCAGAUAUCCAAUCUCUUCUAAUUUAAUACCUGUUUAGAUAUUUAUCUACUUCGGUUCGGAUUUUUCGGUUGGGUUCAGAUGCAGUUUCGGAUAUCAGGUAAAGUGUCCACCCUACUAUAAACUAUGAGCCAUAUAAAAAAAAAAUAUAAAAAAAUAUAAAAUUAAAAUAAAUUACUUUUUCUAUCGUAGAUGCCUUGGAAGAACAAGAUCAAACUGGUAUGUUUUCCUUUUUCUACUAAUAAUGUCUUUGUCUGGUGUUUAAUUGUCGUUUUCGAUGAGUCGACCAUAUAUAUAUGCAAUUUAAAUUACUAAUAGUCAUUUAAAAUGACCUUUCAAAACUAUUAAUAAUGUAGUUUCUCCUGUUAUAACCAAAUCUAUUUUAAUUUGGACAUAAAUUUACCUAAUUUUUUUCAACAGCCGAACAAAAAUGCAUCUAAUAAAAAAAUAAUACCGUAUCUUUAAAUCUAAAAUCUUGACCCGUGCAUUCACGCGAAAUUUAUAUAUAUAAAUAUAAAUAUUAAUAAAAAUAUUUUAAAAUUCUAAAUAUUAGGAUAACGUGUUUAGAGGUGCAAUUGUGAAAAUAUGGUAUUUUCUAACUUUAGUUGAAGGUAGAUAUAUAAUUUUAUUUUAUGUUUUAUGAAUAUAUGGUGAUACCUUGAUAAUUUUUUUUUAAAAAUGGUUUCAGUUAAUAGGAUAUAUAUAUUAUUGUAGUAUAUGUUUAGAAUUUCUACAUAGCAAAUGCUUUGCUAGAAAUUAAACUAAUUCUUAUAUUAUGUAUAAUACAUGAAUGUUAGAAAAAAUACAAUGACAUAAGAUCAACAUAUUUUAAAGUCAAAAACAUUCAAC